GACGAACGCUGGCGGCGUGCUUAACACAUGCAAGUGGAGCGACGAACCAGGGCUUGCCCUGGGGCAGAGCCGCGAACGGGUGAGUAACACGUGGGUAACCUACCCCGAUGAUUGGGACAACCCGGGGAAACCCGGGCUAAUACCAAAUGUGAUCUCUCUUCAUAAGUAGAGCGAUCAAAGGAAGCUUCGGCCUCCGCAUUGGGAGGGGCCCGCGGCCCAUUAGCUUGUUGGUGAGGUAACGGCUCACCAAGGCUUCGAUGGGUAGCUGGUCUGAGAGGACGAUCAGCCACACUGGGACUGAGACACGGCCCAGACUCCUACGGGUGGCUG
rnacentral:rRNA from 1 species